UAAAAAUAAGUAUAAAUAGAAAACAUUCACAAUGUCUUGAUAAUGUAAUGUAAACCAGAAAUAGUCUUGAUGCAUUAAAAUAGUGCGCAGAAUACUUUGUACGUCGCGUGAAUCAGCGCUAAAUUGGUUUACUAAUUUGCAUAGUGAUGUAACAUGUUGAAUGAUUAGUACCGCGAAUCUCGAGUGAGAUCUCUCGAGAUCAUUAAAAAUAAAAGCAAACGACGCAUAUCACCAACGCGAAUCAAAAUAUGUUCUUCGCUUCCUCUUCUCGUGAGCGAUCGAGUUUCUUUUAUCCGCAUAAACGCGGAAAACGCGUCAAAAAAUAACUCGCCUGAGCUUCCUUCUCACGCACAGCCACGUAUCGGACAUUACGAGACGAUAACAAUUCUCGGUCACGUCAUUGCAGAGCAAUUACUGAACAGGAAGCGAAGGGGAAGUCGCGAUGUAUAAAACAGUUGGACGCUCGAGCAUGCGAACAUUCGUCUCUGAAAUAUUAUCGGCGUGGCAUCGAUCUUGACGCAUCUAUAAUCCCAGAUUUUGCUCACGAAAAGUUCAGGUGACUGAAAUUAAUCAAAGAUGAAGCAGAUGCUCGCUCUAAUGGUCAUCGUUGUCGUACUUUCGACGGCAAUUACUGCAGACGAUGACAAAGACUACAUUCAUCUACCGGGAAAAAAUUGCGACGACGCACCGCCCUGUCCCGAUGAUAGACCCUGCGUGAUGGCACCACCCCAUUGCAAUGUCGGUACCUGCGGCAAGGAUCCGGUGCCGACGUGCGGAAAGAAACCCUAAAUGUAAGGACUCCGAGGAAAGAUUUGUUGUUCGUUUAUACCUUGAUAUAUCCGCUUUCUUUCCUCUUAUAUAAUAAAAUGUUAUUUCAAGGAUGAAAAA